UACGGAGGAUGCGAGCGUUAUCCGGAUUUAUUGGGUUUAAAGGGUGCGUAGGCGGCAUUAUAAGUUAGUGGUAAAAUAUUGGGGCUUCACCUCACUACGCCAUUAAUACUGUAGAGCUAGAGAACAGACGAGGUAUGCGGAAUGCGUGGUGUAGCGGUGAAAUGCAUAGAUAUCACGCAGAACCCCGAUUGCGAAGGCAGCAUACCGGUGCACAACUGACGCUCAGGCACGAAAGCGUGGGUAUCGAACAGG
rnacentral:rRNA from 1 species